CGGCCAGACUCCUACGGGAGGCAGCAGUGGGGGAUAUUGCACAAUGGGGGAAACCCUGAUGCAGCGACGCCGCGUGGGCGAAGAAGUAUUUCGGUAUGUAAAGCCCUAUCAGCAGGGAAGAAGAAAUGACGGUACCUGAGUAAGAAGCACCGGCUAAAUACGUGCCAGCAGCCGCGGUAAUACGUAUGGUGCAAGCGUUAUCCGGAUUUACUGGGUGUAAAGGGAGCGCAGGCGGCACGGCAAGCCUGAUGUGAAAGCCCGCGGCCCAACCGCGGGACUGCAUUGGGAACUACCGGGCUGGAGUGCCGGAGAGGUAGGCGGAAUUCCUAGUGUAGCGGUGAAAUGCGUAGAUAUUAGGAGGAACACCAGUGGCGAAGGCGGCUUACUGGACAGUAACUGACGUUGAGGCUCGAAAGCGUGGGGAGCAAACAGGAUUAGAUACCCCGGUAC
rnacentral:rRNA from 1 species